CGCCGCGCCCCGCUCUCGCCGCGAGGUGGCGCGCUGCCGCCCGCCCCGAGGUGGGCCGUGCGCGGUGCUGCUGCUCGGGUUGUGGGCUCAGUUGGGCGGGCGGGGUUGUGAGGUGUUCAGCCGGCCUGAGGGAGAAAGGGGGAUUUCCCAAGUUAACGCGCUUUUUAAGUGUGGAAGCACAGAGGUGAAGGGGCGUCACGAGGCGGUGUGAAGAGUUUGUGGAAGGGUUGAUCCAAAUCUCACUGUAUCCCUCUCCAAGAUGAUCGGGCCCAGUGCUGGCAGGACCUGCAGCAGACUGGGGGAUUGCAGCAUACAUGUGUGAGGACUUCCUGCACCAGGGGCACCCCAGGGGAGUGCAGAGACCCACUGGGAGCUGGCGGUUCUGGUGAGAAGAACUGAGAAGACUCCAGUGGGGCCAGGAGCAGUGGCCAUCGUUCUCUGCGUGUGCAGAAGACAGCCCCAGGGACUGUGGCGAUCGGCACAUAGCGGGUCUGAUAGAGCCAAACAACUUUUAUCUAAUUCUGCUCAUUCAAGCUGGAUCACAGAAGGCUUUAACAAGGAGACUGAAAAACAUUAAAAGGGACUUUACAUCUCUUGGAAGGAUGUAGAAGAGAUUGGGAGUGUAAGUAGUGUUGUCCUCUGUCCUUCUGAUGGAGGCUGGCACCUGGGAAGGAGGAGAACAGGACAAGCGAAUGAUUGGCUGUGUGGAUGGUGCUAUACAUGGGGCUGUGGCUUCCAUGAUCUUCGACAGGCCUUUGAGGUGCUGAGCAUGUUGACUUCAAAUGAGACACAACUGACUGGGUGGGACAAGAAUGUUCUGGGAAACAAGCUGUCUGGGCUGAUCAGCAGAACUUAAAACUAGAUUCGAUGGGGAAAGGAGGUGGAUUUCAAAAUGACAAAGGAAGACUGGGGAACGCUGUCACUUUAGGAGGCAGUGGAGAUGGACUUCAGAUUUGUCCCCAGGGAACUCAGGAGGGCUCCCUGAAGAAGCUAAUACUGCUGAUUGUCUGGAUGAUGUGCCUCUAUACCAAUGCCAGCAGCAUGGGAAAUAAUCAGGAGGAGCUGGAAGACAUGGCACAACGGAAAAACUUACCUAGUUGCUAUCAAGGAAAUGUGGAAUGAAUUGCACAGCUGGAGCACAGUGAUCAAGGCCUGCAAGCUUUUUAGGGGAAAUACAGAGGGAUGGAGGGGCAGGGGAGUUGCUCUCUGCGUUAAGAAGUGGAUAGAUUGCAAAGAGCUGCCUUUGAAAAACAGCCAUGAUCAGAUGGAGAGCUUGUGGGCAACAGCAGGAACUGGUCCAUUGAAGGCCAUCUGGUGAUUGGGGUCUACUACAGGUUGCCUGAUCAAGGGGAGCUUGAGCACAAGGCCUUCUUGCUACAAAAGGCUCUCAUCCUGAUGGGAGAUUUCAACCACUCAGAUGUCUGCUGGGGAAACAACAUGAUGGGCUGCAAGUGAUUCAGGAGACUCCUGAAGUGCAUGGAUGAAUAUCAGGGACUGGUCCAACAAAGGACAUCUGAUGUUAAGGGGUCUACUGCAGGCUGUGUGAUCAAGGGUAGCCUGUGGAUAAGGCCUUCUUGCUUCAGAUACAGGAAGCAUUGUAUUCACAGGCUUUCAUCCUCAUGGGGAAUUUCAGCCAUCCAGAUGUCUGCUGGGAAAGAAGCACAGUGGGUUGCAGACAAUCCAGGAGACUCUUGAAGUGUGUUGAUGAUAACUUCCUGGUCCGGGUAUUAUACAAAUUGACCUGAGGGGAAGCAUUAAUAGAUCUGGUGCUCACCAGUGUAGAGGAGAUCAUUGAGGAGGUUAAGAUAGAAGGCAGUCUGGGCUAUAUUGACCAUGCCUUGGUUGAAUUUGUGAUCUUGAGGAAUAUGGGCCUGGAGAAAAGCAAACUCAGGGCCUGAACUUGAGGAGAGUGAACUUCUGGCAGUUUAAGGAAUUGUUAGAUGAGAUCCCUUGGAAAGCUGUUGGAGUAGAGCUGGCAGCUCUUUUAAGGACACGUUUUUGAAAUCACAAGAACUCAGUAUAGGAAAACAAGCAGAGAAAGCAGGAGACUGGUAGGGCUAAGCAAGGACCUACUGGUCAAACUAAGGGAAAACAGGAACUCUCUCUUGAACUGUCUUUCUUGAACAGGGGUGCCAAAAUCUGCACACAGUACUGCAGAAUUGGCCUCACCAGAGCAGAGUAGAGGGGGAGGAUCACCUCCCUUGACCUGCUCACCACACUCUUUUUAAAGCACCCCAGGAUACUGUUAGCCUUCUGUGUCACAAGGGCACACUGCUGGACUAUGAUCAAGCUGCUGUUCACCAGUACACUCACAUCCUUCUCUGCAGAGUUCCUUUCUAUCAGAUCAGCCCCUAAUCUGUACUAGUGUGUAGAGUUAUUUCUCCCCAUGUGUAGGACUCUACACUUGCCCUUGUUGAACCUCAUAAGGUUCCUUUCUGCACAACUGUCCAGCCUGUCCAGGUCUCACAGAAUAGCAACACAGCCUUCUGGUGUAUCAGCCACUCCUAGCUUUGUAUCACCAGCAAACUUGCUGAGGGUGCACUUUAUCCCUUCAUCUAUGUCCCUUAUGAAGAUGUUAAACAAGACCAGAUGCAGUUCUGACUCCCGGGGAACACUGUUAGCUACAGGUUUCCAACUAAGACUCUGUCACUGAUCACAACUCUCUGAGCUGUACCAGUAAGCCAGUUCUCAAUCCACCUCACUGUCCAUUCAUCUGUCCCACAGUUCCUAAGCUUACCUAUGAGGAUGUAGUGGAAGACAGCAUCAAAAGCCUCGAUGAUGUCAAAGUUGACAACAUCCGGUGUUCUCUGCUCAUCUAUCCAGCUGGUCAUGGCAUCAUAUAAGGCUACCAGACUGAUCAAGCAUAAUUUCCCCUUGGAGAAUCCAUGCUCACUACUCCCGAUGACUUUCUUCUCUUCCACUUAGAAAGGCUUGGAUUCCAUGCUUGAAGAUGACAUCCAGAGUAAGUUUUCCAACCUACAAGAUUCCAUGAUUCUGUUUCUUCAUGCUUGGACUAUGUUGCCAUCUGGGAUUUUCUGGUAAUUGCCAAGAAGUUGGGAAGGUUCCAUAGCACUGCGUUUUCAAAUUUGUCCUCGGUGAACUGUCUCAUAUGCAGUGAAUUUCAUGCAACAUCCAGUAUAACAUUAGGAACUCUUCUUUAGGACUGCUACAUGGAUAGCUAGGGUGGAACAACAACCUAUAUGGCACAUGAAAUGCCAGAGUUUGUGGAGGUGCUACAGAAGAGCACAGAGGAUUAAAGUAUCUUGUUGACACUGAUGAAAAAAUAGAGGCAAAAGGCUGGACAUGUUCAUAUUGUGAGCUAACAGCUUUCUUCCCGUCAUAUAGUGAACUCCCUUAUUUUGAGACAUCCUGACAUAUGAUUUUGAUCCCUAGGUCUACUCUGAGGUAGGGGAAAGAAAUUAUAGAAGUCACUUAAGAUAUGAAGGGAAGUGGAUUAGGGAUGGAAUGGUACAAAGCAGGGGAUAGAGAUCAGAUAUAUCUCAGACAGAAGAGACUUGCCUGUUUUAAGUCUGCUGCUGCUAGCAUCGUGUGUUGAAUGAGACUCAGCAAUAGCCAGUUGCAUCUUAGAUUUCGUCCAAGUAACAAUCUAGAGUAGCUUUUGAGUGAGGAGAGAUGAAGGGAUGAGAACAUAUAGGGAUAUGUCUGCUGGAAACUGAAAACUUGAUUCAGAAAUUCACUAUUUAAAAAUGGAAUGUUGUUUUAAAUUAGAAUUAUUUUUUAUUUGCGUGGUUGUAAAUUGUUCACAGUGCAAGCGGGGUCCUCUUCCUAGGAGUUGUAAGCCUAUUAAAAGAAGUGCAGGCUCUGCUAUUUCAGCUGCCUCUUGAGGAUCCCUUAGCAGUUUAAUUGUCCUCCUGUCCAAAAGCCCAUUUCCCAGCUUGAAGGUCCCUGAUGGCCAUCAGUCAAACCAGAAGACGUCGAUGACACUUGUAGGCAAGAAAAAAGUUUAGUUACAUGCCAUGUGCACUCUGUCCGGUAGGGGGAGAUGUUGCCAAACGGCAGGAGUAUUCAAACUGGAGGAAACUUUGGGUUUCAUGGACGAAAACAAUGAAUGAUCCAAGGAUCACCGAGGAGACGGCUCGCUGUGGUUUUGGGAUAGCCAAGAACAACUGAGCAGAGAGCGGCAUUUCUGGGAAGAGGCAUCAGGUGCCCAUGGAUUUCAGUUCAAUCAUGAUAGUAAACUGAUCCAUAGAGGCUUGCAGAAAAUUUCAGAAUUGGCAUUUGAGGAAGUGAGGAAAGAAGGGAGCUGUCUAAACUACAACAGAUACGAAGAGCUUGAUUCUCAAGAUAAUUCCUCUUCACUUGAUGAAUCCCAGGCAAGCCAAAAGGUUGGACAACCAAGAUAUGUCACCGCAUGGACCUUGCCCACAUCACUCUCCAUUUACACCUCUGAACAUGAGAGGGGAGUGUAUCCCAUUUAGGCCACCUUCACUGGACCUGAAGUAAGGUGAGAGAGUCUGUGGGCUCUUCAUGCCCCUGCCAGAAACGUGCCUUCUAACUGGUCUCUUGAUGCCUCACCUGCAGCUGAGGCACCUGCCGCUGAGCACCUGGAGAUGCAUUCCGGCCAAGAGACUGAACAUCCAAAACUAUCCAUUAGCAUUUUCCAUGAAGAGAUAAGCUCUGCUCUCUGUUGGAGUUUCACUGUAGUAGCUAGGGGUUUGGGAGACCUGGCUUUGUUUCUGGCUCUGUCAUUCAUCUUCUGCAUGGCCUUGGCAAGUCCUUUCUCUUUUCUGUGCCUGCCUUUGCCCACAUACUCCUCUUCUGAACUAAUGGCGGUACUGUGGCUGUUUGAAUCUGUGUUGUGUGAGUAAAUAAACAGUAACUGUAGAAAGGUUUGAUUUUUUUAAAAAGAUGCUGCUUGGCAAGAUCUAACGUUAACCGAAGAUGGAAAAGGUGUGGUAUCUUGAAGUUUUUCCACCUCUACUCUCUGCUUACCUUCAGUGGAAAGUUGAUUUUCAUCAGCUGAGGAACAGAAACGAGUCCCAGCCUGCUAGCACAACCACAGUGUUAGUUAGGAAUAGUCUGAAACACAUGCAGGGAGUGAAAAUAAACCCCAGCUUAUCUGUACACUGACUUUAGACAAUAAGAGUAGCUGUGGACCAGACAUCUACUGAAAGGUGUCCUGGAGCAGAAGGCAAAGUUUCCCUUCUAAACAGCUUACUUUUGCCAUCCAGGUCCUGGAAACACUCAGCUAUUUGUAAGCAUAGAAUUUUCUCUGCAAAACACUGAUGCUUUGGGGUAGGCUGAGUACUCUGCAUUGAAAUCCAGGAUACAAUGCAGUCAGUGGGUGGCCCCAGACAACUUUGAAUGGGCUUUGGAAUAGGGCCCAAGCAUAUCACAAAGAAAGGGAGAAGGAAGCUUUGCUUUAGCCAAAUCUCUGAGCAUGUGCUUCACCACUGAAAUUAGUAAGAAUUAAGCAUAUACUUAAGUAUUCUGCUGACACUUACCUUAACCACCGAGUAACAAAUACUGUCUUGCAGAGACUCUGCUUAAAAGAGAAAAAUGCCUUUUACGUGUCAAAGAGGGACAUAACAUUUAAAAUGGCAUUUCAAAUUUCUUUUAUUUUUUAGUGACAUAGCAAAAGCAGUAUUUGGCCCUGUGCUGCUUGGAACGAGGACAUUUCAAAUUAUUACCAACUGCAGCUUCUCUCUGCAUCAUUUUGCAUUAUGCAGUUUAAUGGCUGCCUGCUAGAAAGGCAUCUUCUCUGCUUCAGUCAUCUAACAGGAUUUUUGGCAUCCAGCUCAUCAGAUGGGUUAUUUUCUUUAACCAUAUUCCUGUAGGACUGCAUCUUUUAAGCAUCCUGCUGCGUUAUUUUGGCACAACCUUUAUAUCUUUUCAUCUUAUUGUUUCUGGAAUUCCUUUUCUCUUUGUAUCAAGUGAUGUUGCUGUGUGUGCUUUUUCUAACAAAUCUUGGUGGAAGAUCAGAAAAACAAACAAAAAAAAAGGCUAAUGUAUCCUAAGGAUUGAUAAUUUCAGGGUCAAAACAGAUUUUAAGUGCUGAUCUUCUUGCACCCGCUGAUGAAUCUUUCCGACCAAGAAGCUGGUGUAUCGUAUCUAGCUGGCAGCACACAGAACACAUUAGGAAAACAAAGAGAAUGUGAGAUUAAGCCGAAAACAGGCAAGAGAGGCAUUUUCUCACUGUUCUGCAUGAAGGCAGAAGAUGCUUCAAGAGGAUACAACCUCGGUUUUCUUGUUGGAACUAUGGCCUCUUCCCCCCAUCAGAUUAUUCAAAGGCAACAUCACUGAAGUCAAGUGAGAACAGGACACUGCUGAAGUAAUUACGAAGAAUUUGCCUACUCCAUCUUGACCGUCUGAGGGCAGUGUCACCUAAUAAUUGCUAAAGGAGAUAUGCCUGGUCACUGCAUACUGUCUGCACUGCAUUCACCCUCUGAAGAUGCCAUCCAAAACUCAGAGAUAUCAAAGAGAGCCUUUUCACAGAUCUUACCUGCAUCUUGGACUUUGGUAUAUUGGGCUCACUCUUCUGGGCCACAGUGCUUACUGAUAUAAACCUUUACUGGCACUGAAUCCAGUUUGAGAUAUAGAUCUGAAACAAGAUGCGACCAUGAAAGACCUCUCACACAAGUCCAGUGUAGGUUUCUACAAAAUGAGGUUGAAAGUAAAUGAUCUUUAUAUUCCCGUCCAACCUAAACUGUUUCAUGACCCUGUAAAAUGCUUUUUGCAUGAAGCUAUUUAUGCCUGGCUAGAACAUGACUGACAUGACUAUCCAGUUGUGUUCUAAGGACUUCAAGAGAUAAAGAACCUACAGCAGACUGGUAAGCUGUUCCAUGGGCAAUCAAGCUCCCUGUCAAGAACAUCCACCUUGCCCUAGGUAUGUUAAGCAGUUAUUCCACCUGGAACUGUUCUGCCUGGAGAACAGAAGGUUGAGAAGAGAUCACAUCACUGUUUAUAACUACCUGAAGUGUGGGAGUGAAGUCGAGGAAGAAUGACUCUUUUCAGUGGUGCACUGUGAAAGAGCAAAGGGCAACAAGUGAAGACUGGGACACAGAAAGCUCCAUACAAACACAAGGAAAAGCUUCUUUACUGUGAGAAUGACAGAGCACUGGAACAGGCUGCUCAGGGAGACUGUGGACUCUCCUUCGCUGAAGAUGUUCAGAACCUGCCUGGACACUUCCCUGUGCAACCCUACAGGAGAGAACCUGCUUUAGCAGGGGGUGAGACUAGAUCAUCUCCAAAGGUUCUUUUCAGUCCCCACAGUUAUGUGAUUCUGUGAUUCUGUGAUAAGCUCCUCUUUAAACUGUAGUAGGAACCAUUGUGAUAUGAGUUCUGGUGGGAAAUGUCAUAACAAGUUGAUUUUGAGGAUACAAAAAAAAAAAAAAAAAAAAAAGAAAAGAAGAGAAAAAGGAAUGAAAAAGAAAAAUCUCUUGAUUCUUCUCUAGGAGCAAAGGUACUUUGCAGCAAAGAUCUUGAUUUGUAUCAAAAAUUAGGUAAAGGGAAAAAGAUAGAUUUGGCAGAGAGCUGUUAAGAGCUCAAAAGCAAUGAUGGUUAGCACAGUAACCCCAGUGUGGUAGUGCUGAUCAUUCUGAACCUGUUAUCAACUUGAAGCAUUAAAUGUAAAAGAUUUUCCAGAUGACUAGUGUUGGGGAAGCUGGACAUUGUCAGAAGUACAGUGGUAAAUACAGAUGGGUGGAAACAUUCAGAUACAAACAAUUAAUCAUCAGUCCCUCAGAUAAGCGCUAGUCUUCAGGCACUGGUAACUAGCACUGAGCAGUCAGGUCAAUCCCAAACCCACUGGAGAACAAUUUUGGAAAUAUAGAAAGCUGGAAAUUUGGUGUCUGGUGAGUGGGAAGUUGGCUCAACUCCUUCUCCUCUUUCAUGCAUUUUUAAAAAUCAUGUGAAAACGCUUGCAAUAAUGAACCAAGAUCAGAAACAUCUGGUUUCAGCAGAAGUGAGGGAGUUGUGCCACUUUGUCCAGAACAGUUACUAAACUACAACUCAUCCUGCAAGUCCCCUUUAAAAUCCACUGGAUUUCCCCCCUGCUAUAGAUUCCUCUCUGGGGAGCCUUCCAGCCACUGCUCAUUUUGGCAUGCAGUUCUCCUGUCUGCUCACUUUCCCUGUCCAGUCUUUCUUCUCUCCGGCCCAAGCCACCUACAAGCUCCUGUGAGGAAAGGGCUAACUGCUCAGCCCUGCCCUGCAUGGAAAGAGCUUGCUGGAAGCUGUUCUCCUGAAAGACAGGCACCUAUUGCUUUGUCUCUGCCAGACCUGUAAACACCAGACUGAACACUUUCUCGGGAUGUAUCAGAAGCAACAAACUGACUGUGUGACAGAAACACCCAGGGCCCUGUUUUGAUCUCUGGAGGAGAGCAGGGACCCUUGGAACACAAACAGAGGCCUCGAGGCAGCCCAGGGAUGUGCCUGUCCAGCACCAGGAGCUCUGUGCGUGGGAAUGCAGGGAGGAUUGUGGAGGACUGGUGUAAUUAUAAGAAUUGAUGGGUCUGCGGAGCAUUUUUUGGAAAUUGUACAUGAACUGCUGCAGAUUUUAAUCAGGGUGUCUCUCUUCCUCUCAUUUACCUUCCUCAUGGAGGAGAGGUCUCCUGGCCAUGAUUAAACUUCAGUAAAGCUUUGUAAACCUGCCUUUGGGUCAUGUUUCUUCCUCAGUCACAGCAAGUCCCCUGUCCCUUUUAAAAAACUCAGAUUGUACUGGUUUUUCUUGCUUAGUUUUCCACAUUCUACUGUGUUCAUCUUUUCUCUGCCUUCUCUAACAUCAGUUCUCUCAUGACAGAACCUCUUCUCUCUGUGUGUGUUUAUGGCCCUAUAUCUUCUUCACUUUUGGCUGGAGGGAUGAAGAGCUGCCUGCUGCUUGGACAAAGCAAAAAUUGAAGCUGUUCUCCUUGGGCUUCAUGGCUACUUAGGGCUCUGACUUGCAUGAGCUUCAGCCACUUAGAAAAAGCACUACUUUCAGACUGAAAGCUCAGAAACUGAAGAGUUUUUAACCUCAUUACCUUGAGUAAUGAUCCACACCAGUCAUAAAAAAGGAGAAAGCUGGAGAAAACCUGAGGUGGUGAUAUCCUUAAAGCAGAUGAUUUUAUUUUUUGAAGAAAGAAAAUAAAAAAUGAUGAUGAAACAUUUUCCUGAAGAACAAAUCGAAACACUUCGUGCAGUGUUACCUGUUCACAGAAUAGGAUUUGUGUACCAAGAUGAAUCACUGCACUCUUGGGACUGGAUGACGUUUUUCUUGCAGAUUUUCAUACUGCCUGGAAGAGAAAGAGAAGAAGGUGGAAGCAUGUGAUGGGCAGAGGCCAUUGGCAUGAGAGAGAGCAGGCUGAGACUUCAUGCUGGAGAUGGACAAGACCAAAACAUUUCUCCUGUGUCAGCCAAAGAGAGUUUCAAACCUAAAGCUGUUUGCAGAAUGAAGCCGUGAGCUGGCCAGAUGGAAACAAGACUCCACUGCACGGUACAUGGAAAAAACAAGUUCAUCAUGUUCUGUCUUCACUCUGAGACAUUCUUGGCAACUUCAGCCACAUCCUGGAAAGAGUGGAGGAGAGGAAGAGCAGAGGGGAGCCAGCAGGCAAAUGGGGUUAUGGGGUUUGGUUUGUAAAGUGCUUAGGAAAGCUGUUCAGCUUCAAGGAAAAUAUCUGAUUGCUGAGACAGGGCGUACUGGAUAAUUAUUUUUUGAAUGUCCUCGCCAUUUUUCAGUAUUUUACCACUGUUUUCUUUCUGUAGAGUGCAGCAGCAGUCAUCCUUCCUGGGCAAUAGCAUAAUUGUUUCAGCUAGAACUGUUUUCUUCUUAUGUGGCAGGGAUGUCUACAUAAACAGUUAGGGCACAGAACUGCUUUUAUGACUGCUCUAAUGCCAGAAGGUGAAACACAAUAAACUGAAUUUUCGAUAUUGCAGGUCUUUGUUUUUAUUGUUGUUUUUACAUAUAGUCUCACCAAAAAUAGCUUUGGUUCAUUCGUCAUUUCCUUUUUUGGUUGACACACAGCAUUUAGCUAUUCAGUUCUCUGAUGUUCCAUUAAAUAGCCAGACAAUUUUUAAAAUAAAUGUUCCCUUAGAGUUGCAUAUUUUUCCUUCAUUUCUGGGUCUGGGAAAUAGAAAGAGACCUCAGAAACAGCUGAAGUUUAUUUUAGAAGCUGAAAUAUGUUUGGCAUUCUUUUCUCCUUGUACUACACUAUUGUUUUCUUCAUUUUGUUGUCUCAGAGUUGUUGUCAGAUGUGAUUUUUAAGGGUGUAUUUUGGAUUGUCAGGAUUUUUAAAGCACCUUUUUUUUUUUUGAUCAUAGGAAUCAGAAUCCAUUUACUGCCAUGUGACUAAUGUUCGUCUGCACUGCUGAACUAGACAGUCACUACAAUGUCCGAGCUAAACCAUCCUCUUCUUUCUCUUGUCUCAUUUCUCUGUUGUUUCCCUGCUUGCCUGGGGAGAUUGUGCUUAUGCAGGCUCAGCCUCUGUCUGUCACUUUGGUGACUCUUGAACUACUUAAUUUAAGUCAGUUUCGAAAGUAGUCAGGAGGGAGGUUCUUGCACAUUUCAAGAAAGAAGGUAUAUUAACAGACAGGCACACUGACAGUACUGGCCAAACUCCCAAGUCCUUAUGCACAUCCCAUGCUGAUUCAAGUAUGAAGAACGAAUGCUCUGCUCAGAGCUGGAUCCCACCUUCAUUUGGGGCUGCUGGAGAUGCAACACUGAUGGCCACACAUUUUGCCCUGUGCCAUCAUUGCAGUUACCCUUUCCUACCUUGGGUUGUUGUGACUGCAGAGUAGAAGUGCAGAAGGAGAGGAGCUUUUGGGGAGAAAAAGCGGAACUACACCAGCUGGCAUCAUGAUUGAAUGAGUGACCUCACUGUCCACUGCAUCUGUGCCAGCUUUUGAACCACUGGCAGGCGUAAUGAGCUUCCCUCUUGGAGCAGACAGGUGCCACCUGAAGUAGCUGGAAGAAUCAUUUGACAUUACAAGGAGCUUUUUAAAAAAGGGAAGAGAACGUCUAUCUAGAAAGCUGCUCAGUGUGCAUAUAUAUGAUAGAAAAGAUAGAGCCGGUUUGAAUCAGAACACAACACUAUGCAUACCUUUGGUAUAAGGUCACUAUUACACUAAUACAUCUUCAUGUGAGGCUCAGGUAGCUGGAGUUCACAUACUGGAGGUUACCAAUGCAUCUCAGAACUCGGGAGGGAGUUUUAAAUGGACUCUGAACUCUGCUCCCCCAGGUUCCCUGAUGCAUUUAAAGCAACAUAUCCUUGUGUGAAUGGGUCGUGCUGCUGUGCAACCAUUGGAGUUUGGAAAAGCCGUGCUGAGCUGCAUAAAACCUGGGUGUUUACUUUCCGACUCUGCUGUAUUAGGCACCUCAAUCUGAUGGGCCAGCAGGUUAGGUGGUAUGGAUCCUGCUUUCUUAGUUCAAACAGAUUUUUGCAGGCUAUUAAUAGAUACUGAUGCAAGCAUGCAUCUGCAAUGUGCUCAUAUGCUGUUGCAGGUGUGUGUGGGGGUGCCCGGCUGCACAGACACGAAAGCACUGCUGAAGGCAUUACUGCAGGUUUGGGUGAAAUGUGUGUAAUUACAGGCAAUUUCCUUUGCUGCUCUCAGGUCUAUGCCUUUGCAUGGAUUUAAGGGUCUUAAAAAGCCUCUGAAGUCCUGACAAAAAGCCUCUAAAGUCCUGACAAAAAGCCUCUGAAGUCCUGACUCAUCCCCUGAUCCCAAAGCGUAUUUAAUAAAAGGAAGUCAGUGUACACUUGCACGGCUCCAGGUGCGGCUGGCAGGGUGCUAUCUGCCCAGAAGGUUGUAUUUAUUCCCGAAGAGUAGGAAUAAGCUGUAACGUUUCUACCCAACCAUUUUUCUUAUGUUAGACAUCAUCAGCAAUAAGAACAAGAGGGGCUGAAGAAGCAAUGAGAUGCGAUUAUUUCUGAUAUUCUUGCUGAGGUUUUAUGCUGUGCUUUUUAGUCUUGAUUAUAUACCUCAAGGCAGGAAAACAGUUGAAGCAGAUUUUAUGUAUCAGUUUAGAUUAUUUCCUUGGCCCUAUUACUAUUUUCUUUAGAGAAAAUUAAAAAGGAAAAAGAAUAUUUUUAGGGCCUCUCAUUUUAGCAGGCAGCCCCUCUUACUAAAAUGUUCUUACCUGCUGUGUUUUUUGAAUGUUUGGCAUUUAUUGCUAGAAAUGUUACCAUUUAUUUUUUUAUUCUGAAUCCCUCUUGGUGCAAAACUCAAAGCGCAUCCUAUUUAUUGUACAGUUUUGAACAGAUAUAAACACAGAUUCAUGGUUUCAUAGCUUCAUACGUGAAGCUGAAUGUCAUUUUUCUGAGGAAUGCUCUUUUGUGUAUCACAAGAGUUAAUUUAGCCCUGCCAUUUUUAGUGUGGUUGAGGUACUUCAAUUUGAUAAAUGCGUAAUGGAUUGAGACACUCGCAGACUUUUCCUUCAGUUUUCUGUCAGCUCAUGACCAAAAAGGCAAAAAACAUGACAAAAACAUUAUAAAAAAUAUUUUUCUGGGGUUGGUGGAGUUUUGCUGUUGAAAACCUGGAAUAAUACAUUAUUGAUCAGUUUGGUCUUCAGGAAAUUCUGUAUAUCAAGGGAAAAUAAAAAUGAGAUUUCUCUCACAGGAAUACCAGUUAGACUACUUUGUUAGCAACUUUAGCAUAUAUUGAAAAAGAAAAGUAUGAAUCAACCAGUAGUUCUUUUUAGCUAUAAAGUAAUUUAAUUUUUAUUUAAAAAAAUAUCUUUAUUGGGUCAGUGGAAAAGUAAGACAAAAUAAGAAGUAGAUUGGGACUCAGAUUUAAACUUACAGUAAGAAUAAGCAAUGAAAAAAAGAGAAAAAUAUAAGCUAUGGACCAGAGGCACCCAAACAGGGGCAAACUGCACUUGUGGAAGGCAAUGAUCAGGAAAACCAGAGCAUGAGAGCACUCUGGCCAGCGUAACCUGGAUUUACAGAUUCAUCUCUUACUGAGGUGGGGGGACCUCCUUGUGUUCUGCAUUUCUUACUCCAUAUUCGGUAUAGUAAAGGAUGAAAUAAUUCAAAUGUGUCAGCUUUGGAUUUCUACAGAAUCCCAGUUAUCAGAUAUAAAAUAAAAAACACAGGUGGGAUUACUUAUACAUGACAUUGGCUGAUAGCUCUGUGGCCCACUUCUAUAGAGAGAAAUAUCCGAUUAAAUUGAAAUGUGCUCGGUAGAGAGAAAUGCCUUCCAUUUUCAUCCUUGAAUCAAUCCACUUACACUGAGAAUAAAAGACGUGAAGAAACAAUCCCUAGGUAAAUUACAGCAGCAGAGGUUGAUGCUCUCUUUUUGAUCCUUCACACAGUUGCUGGUUUCCUCUGCACAGCGAACAGCGGCACUUGGGAAGCAGUAAACAGCUCAGGCUGCCUGACAGUAACCUGAGGCUCCAUCCUGCAGAACAGAAAAUGAAAGGGAAUUCAAAGAGAAUGAAGGGUACAGCACAGGGGAAAGCUACUUAGUAAAUGUUUGUAAUUGGGACCAUUCUGGAACGUGCAUAAGCAUGCUAGAAAAUCAAUAUAACCUCUGGGAUCCUCAUCCUUUCAGACAAGAGCUUGAAAAUUCAUUUUGUGCUCAAGAUGUCCCUACCACAAACAUAUCUUUAGAUACGGGAAAAGAGUUGGAAGAGUAUAGAAUAACAGAUGACAAGUACACAAUAGUGAUAAAUGAGAGUGAAAAAAAGAAGCAAUACGAAGAUUGUACUUAAAACCCACACUGUUAAUUGGAAUCAAGUUAUAGUGCUUUCCUUCUUGGAAAAAGAAUAAUAAUUUUUCUUCAGCUUUGGCAGAAGAACAGCAUGCAUAAGAGCAAAUAAUAUUUGAAAGUUGAACAAGCCGACAUGGCACCAAGUGAGAUAAAUGCUUAUCUCAUAAUCAUUAGCUCCUGGCCUAGCAACUGCUUUGCGUUGCCAAAAAUUCAGAGUUGGAGGAGAAUUGCAUAGACUAAAAAUAAUAGUUCCAAGGAGCAGCAUCAGAAAAUAGUUGCAACUGUAUUCUUCUGUGAUCUUUGAAGUAUUAUGAAAACAAAGAAACAAGUAACAUCUCAUUCUGGUGCUUCUAAAUCAUAGUUUUGGAGCGAUAGCUUUUAUUUUUUACUACAGAAGUGGCUAACGCACAUGUUAUUCAUAAACCAAGUGUCUGCUUCUGUUGGAUAGCCUUUUCCAUCAUUACCUGUCUGAACAAAAAAUCCCUGCUGUUCCUAGAAGGGGGGGAAAGUGGUCACAGCAGCUUCUAGACAGCAGAUCAAAAAUACUCUGGACUCCUGCCUCAGCAUGAAGCUGAUCUGCUAUGUUAAGCCAUCUAUUUAGCAAGAUAACCAUCUGUCCAGAGUAGGCUUGGUGAGGUAAUGGUUUUAUUAAUUUCUUAUAAUAAGUAAGAUGAGCAGAUGAGGCUGCCUGUAGCAUUCAGAUAGGAGAAUAUGACCUUUACAAAAUUAUCUGCUUUCAUUUCUGAUGCAAAACAUUAUGUUUUUCAGUGUAUCAGAGGUGUUACUGGGUGAUUUUUGCCAGGGCUUUUAAGUGGGCACGAGAAAACACGAGGGUGAUGAGUCUGAAUUUGUUUUCACGUCUGCAGAUUAGACGUUUUCUAAUCACCAAGGCUGAAGCAAGAGAAAAAUAUCUCCUCCCAACUUGUAUUUCUCUACACUGAAGGUCAGUGAUUGCAGUUCACAUGUUGUUCUAACUUUGCCAGACAAAACAAAACUUUUAUAAAGCUACUUGCUCUUGAUUAGCAUUAGCUUUCCUUGUUUGUUUGUUGCUACCAACUCCGCUUAAAAAUGGUGAUCUUUCUUGUAGCCGAAUUUCCUCCUUAGAUUUCCACUGACUAGUUUUUCCAUUGCACUUCUAUUUGAACACAGAAGGGCCUCUAGGACUCAGCAUUUUCACUACCUAAAGAAGCCACAGGGAAUGUCACUUUGCACACUUCAGUGUGCAAACAAGACUCCUGAAGUCUCCCGGUACUUUUCUUCUUUCAGCCCUGAAAUCAUUUAUACAGCCUUUACCUUCAAUAUAUUGAGAACAUCAGCAUCUUUUUAUAAAUGUGAAUGCCAAAAGUGCACAGAACAGCACUUUGAGCAAUGACUUCUAUAUUCAUGGGGAAAAAAAAAUCAUAGAAAAAAAAAGUAUUUUGGAACAGAUUUUAGCAUAAAUUCCGUCACCAGUAUAACCAAUAGCUAAGUAAUGCAAGUGAAGGAAAAAGAGCUUGUACCUUUAAGAUGCAGUGUUUAUGUGGUAUGAUGAUAAAUCACGAACAGCACCUAUUAUACAUAAAUUGUGGAAAAUGUUGAAAGUGUUGCUACCAAAUAGACUAAAAUAUUUUAUGGGUUAUCUCUUCCUUUUAUGUGCAAAAAGAAGGUCUAAUUACAUUGUCCAUCAACUCUGAGGAUUAUUUCACGGAUAUGUCUGCAGGUCCCUGCAGUCUUCUGUGUGGAACAGACAGUCCAGACAUGCUUGGUAACAUGUAUUUUGUGUAUGUGUGUGUGUGUUCACUUUACCACCAUCACUUAGCCCUGCUGAGCUUUUCAGGUUAAACAAUUUGCCAUUACAUUUUACUCCUCUGCACUUCCACUAGAUUUGCAAAGAUCUGGGAGAUUUGACUAGUGUUAGUCCAUUGCUUGCUAAGCGUUCUCAUCAUCCUCAAAACAUCUGAUUAUUAAGCAAUUACUACCAGCAAUUAACUUAGCUGAAUAAACAAACAAGGGAGGACAGCAUGCAAACUGCUGCCUGUAUGCUUCAGCUCGUGGCACUUCUCCAUUUUGUCUUCUUUCUCCAUCAGAGAUGUGUGCCACAUAUUGUGCUGGGAAAAAAACAAACUCAGAUACAACUGCCCUAGGUGAGAAGCAGGCACUGACAUACACUGAACUUGAGGGAGAGGGAUGUCCACUCAGCCUUUAAAGAUCUCAGCAGGUUGCUCCUGACAGACUGCCUUCUAAAGGAGACUGACCCGAGACGUGUGGCAUCAUUAAAUUGGGAAUGAUGCUGGACAUGCACUGCAACCACACAAGUGAAAGUUUCCUGCUUUUGGUGGAGAGAGUUGAUGAACAUAAAACAUAGGAAGAUGUGAUAUGAUUCUGGAAGCUGGGGAUUUUGGAAAAGUGACCCUUCAUCUGGGGUUUGUGAUCUGUACCAUUCAACCCAUUAGAAAGGAGCCUCCCUGUCUAUGUUCUGCCCAAAGACACAACAUGUCCUCCCUAGAUGUUUGAUUUGGGGAAGGACAAGGGAAAGAGAGAACACCGAUUUCCACAAGCCAUGUUGCCUUCUAGUCAUAAGAGACUCAGUAUCAGUAUGAAAACAGACACUGCAUUCCUUCUGACUGAUUGCAGGAGCACAACGACACUGUCUGGGCCUCUGGAAAGCCAUCCAGAAGCCACAGAAUGACUUUGGGUCUCCUCUGUGCAUGUAACCUUUGUGCCAUUUGCGAGGGCAUGUACUGGAUGAAGAAUGCCUGGGCUAUUAGUGUGGUAUGUAAGUGGCUGUUCCAGGGAGCUGCAUAUACCAGAGUGAGUAUUUACCCUGGCUUUCCAAGUGAGAUCCUUCUACCUUCUUUCAUAUCAUCCUCUUGUUCAUCAUAUUGUGCAGACAGUUGAGGCAUCGUGUUUUGCUGCUUUUCAAGUUGUAGCACUGGGGUGUUGUGCUGGGGUUAAGAAAUAAAGAAUAUGAACAAUAAAACUAUGGAUACAAAACUAACACAGCUGGAAAGAAAGCCUACCAGGGGAGAUGCCCUACUAGACCUGCUGUUUAUGAAUAGAGAAGGAAUGAUGGAAGAUAUGGUGGAUGGAAGCUGUCUUCACAGAAUGACUACAAAAUGCUCCUGUAGCUGGAGCACAAACACGAGUUAUAAUCUUCAAACAACAACUCUAAAGAAGCUGGUCUAGCUUUUCCCUGACUGGGGACCACAUCUCAGAUAGACCUUUCUCAGCACAUGUAAAAGGCUUUGGUGUUGUCCCAGAUUGCAUACCCCAUGGAAGAAAUGUUUCUACUAGAUACAGUAACUUGUCCCCUUUUCCUGACACUAAUGGAACAUCUAAAACACAACAGUUGAUCAGGCGAUGCACCUGAAAAUCUGCUAUACAUGUUGUGGCAAGCUUGGUAUUAACAACUUGCCAUGUACUGAUUUUCUGGUUCAGAAGUGGCAGAUUUCUUCACUUGUUGUCAGUCUUUCUUCAGGUGAGCUUUUUGCCACCCCACAGCAUCUACCUCCUUGUCAUCCACACAACUCCUCUCACUCUCCAUGCAAAGUGGAGUUUCUAGGCCAAAUCCACCUUUGUUUUUUGUUCUCCUUCAGUUCUAGGUCCGUACAAGAUCCCUGGAAAUACAAGUUAGACAGGUGAAGGCUGAGAUGAAAUUAGAUGUGAUAUGACACUUCUUCAAUGAGAACUACUGGUGAUAGGCAGACAGGUGGACUGAAUCUUCUUCUCUGAAUCUAGACUGAACACAGCUCCUGGCAGCCUUGUGCUAGGCUGGAAGCACAGAAGUGCCAACUUUUUCUCUGCUGAAGACACAGGAAUGAGAUCAUGUAGUGCCUUGCAUUUUUAAGGGUUUCUGAUGAUAGAGGUAACCUUACAUCCUUUUUUUUCCUACAAAGGCGCACUGCAGAAAAUAAGCUGCUUUCUGUCCUUUAAAAGAUGAAAGCAAAUGCCUUCCUAGGAAUGGCACCAGAAGAUAACUUUGAAGAGUACACCUGAUGUUACCUUCCUCCUGUGGCUGAUCAAGAAAUCUUUCCCUGUGGUUUUCUCUCAUGGCAGAGUUUUCUGCAUCCUUCUUGAAUGUGUGUAGGCCUGGGUUCUGAGCACAGAACCCAGAACUUCCCUUGUAACCAGCUGUAGAAGCUCCUGUUUAGUUAAGGUGAGGUCUGUGGACUUGUCCACAAUCUAAUAAAGGCUGAAGUGGUUAUGGUAGCACCAUAAGAUACUAUCCUGAAGUAGUGCACUCAGUGCCACGCAUAUUAAUAAAGCUGAAUACUUUUUUAUGGUG
ensembl:lncRNA